CAGUCGCCGCGGUAAUACAGAGGGUGCGAGCGUUAAUCGGAUUUACUGGGCGUAAAGCGUGCGUAGGCGGCUUCUUAAGUCGGAUGUGAAAUCCCUGAGCUUAACUUAGGAAUUGCAUUCGAUACUGGGAAGCUAGAGUAUGGGAUAGGAUGGUAGAAUUCCAGGUGUAGCGGUGAAAUGCGUAGAGAUCUGGAGGAAUACCGAUGGCGAAGGCAGCCAUCUGGCCUAACACUGACGCUGAGGUACGAAAGCAUGGGGAGCAAACAGGAUUAGAUACCCGUGUAGUCCCUGUCUCUUAUAC
rnacentral:rRNA from 1 species